UGCGGAGGGAUCAUUACCGAGUUAUACAACUCAUCAACCCUGUGAACAUACCUAUAACGUUGCCUCGGCGGGAACAGACGGCCCCGUAACACGGGCCGCCCCCGCCAGAGGACCCCCUAACUCUGUUUCUAUAAUGUUUCUUCUGAGUAAACAAGCAAAUAAAUUAAAACUUUCAACAACGGAUCUCUUGGCUCUGGCAUCGAUGAAGAACGCAGCGAAAUGCGAUAAGUAAUGUGAAUUGCAGAAUUCAGUGAAUCAUCGAAUCUUUGAACGCACAUUGCGCCCGCCAGUAUUCUGGCGGGCAUGCCUGUUCGAGCGUCAUUACAACCCUCAGGCCCCCGGGCCUGGCGUUGGGGAUCGGCGGAAGCCCCCUGCGGGCACAACGCCGUCCCCCAAAUACAGUGGCGGUCCCGCCGCAGCUUCCAUUGCGUAGUAGCUAACACCUCGCAACUGGAGAGCGGCGCGGCCACGCCGUAAAACACCCAACUUCUGAAUGUUGACCUCGAAUCAGGUAGGAAUACCCGCUGAACUUAAGCAUAU
rnacentral:rRNA from 1 species